UAAUCAUGGUGAGGGCAAAGGGCUUGCAAUUUUUUGUACCUUUCCCAUGCUUGAUAUAAAGUUUCAAUUUCCUUUUGAGUAAAAGAAGAGAUUUUUUUUUUCAAUGC
rnacentral:snoRNA from 1 species